AAAGCUAUGGAGACAUAGUGGAGGUUAUCAAGGAGACAGGUGGUGCAUGGUUGUCGUCAGCUCGUGUCGUGAGAUGUUGGGUUAAGUCCCGCAACGAGCGCAACCCUUAUUGCUAGUUACCAUCAUUCAGUUGGGGACUCUAGCGAGACUGCCAGUGAUAAACUGGAGGAAGGUGGGGAUGACGUCAAAUCAUCAUGCCCCUUAUGACCUGGGCUACAAACGUGAUACAAUGGCUGAAACAAAGGGCAGCGAAGCAGUGAUGUGGAGCGAAACCCAAAAAGCAGUCUCAGUUCGGAUUGAAGUCUGCAACUCGACUUCAUGAAGUCGGAAUCGCUAGUAAUCGCGGAUCAGCAUGCCGCGGUGAAUACGUUCCCAGGCCUU
rnacentral:rRNA from 1 species